UAUAUACUGCAGCUGUGCUAUUUGAGCAGUCAAAUUGCAUUGACCGUAUAUUCAUAUGUCAUAUACAGUCACUGACCGUAUAUCACCUUGUUUAUGACGUUGACAAUGUGUUUCCGUAGAGUUUUAUUUAUGACGUCAAUAAAACAUACAGGUUCGCGGCAAUUUUACGUUGUCCGCUCACAAUUAAAGAAUGACGGUUUUUACCCUAAAUACUUCAUUUUGAACAGUUAUAAGAGUUGCAGUAUAUAAAGAAUAACCAUACAUUGUCUCAAAAUAUCAAUCUGUUAUUUGUACUCGGCUCGAAACAGGUAGAAAUGCUCGGCACAGCCUCGCUUUCUACCUGUUUCUAAGCCUUGUACAAAUAACAUUGAUAUUUGGAGACAAUGUAUGGUUAUUCUAUAUAUAUAGAGAAUAAUACAUGGCAAAAUCCGUAUCAUAUGUCGUAUCAUCCCGAGACAUCAAUAUCAGCCCAAGGGCCUUUAGGCCCGAGGGAUGAUAUUGGUCGAGGGUGAUACGGCAUGUGAUACGGAUUUUGCCAUGUAUUAUACGCUUUAUCAUAUAUUUCAACAGAAGAGUAUUAUAUUAUAUGAACUGUUUUCUGAUCCCGAUAGAUUAGCACUGGGUUACCUUCAGUUCUGCUUUUGUCUUGGUUCAAAGCCUUAAAAUAACUGCUUAAACAAAGCACCUGGGUUACCUUACCAUUUGCCUGCUGCUGUUUUAAAAAUAUUUUGUUUAUUAUUGUAUUUAUUUGAGUGUUUUGUAUUUUUUAUAGUUGCAUUUAGUGUGCCAAAAAAUAUGCAAACUUGAUGUUCGUGACGUCACAUACAAUAUGAAAACUUGACGUUCGUGACGUUACAUACCAAACAAUGACGUCAUUAAAAAAAAUGACCUAUUUUGAGGAAAUUUUUUCUUAAAAAAAAAAAAAAACUUUAUGUAAAAAAAAAAAAAAAAAAAAAAAAGGUAUGCGAUACGGGUUUUACCAUGCGAUACGGGGUAUGCGAUACGGGUUUAGCUAUGCGAUACGGGGUAUGCGAUACAGGGUAGGUGAUACAGACUGGAAAAACAACCUUUAUUAGAUAUACAAAAUAGCUGUAUUUUGUACUAAAUAUAUGAUAAAAAGAUGUAAUUCAUGUUUG
rnacentral:lncRNA from 1 species